rnacentral:rRNA from 1 species
UACGUAGGGGGCUAGCGUUGUCCGGAAUCAUUGGGCGUAAAGCGCGUGUAGGCGGUCCGGUAAGUCCGCUGUGAAAGUCGGGGGCUCAACCCUCGAAUGCCGGUGGAUACUGUCGGGCUAGAGUGCGGAAGAGGCGAGUGGAAUUCCUGGUGUAGCGGUGAAAUGCGCAGAUAUCAGGAGGAACACCAAUGCGAAGGCAGCUCGCUGGGACGUAACCUGACGCUGAGACGCGAAAGCGUGGGGAGCAAACAGG